UAAAAAUUUCUGCACUUCCGCGUUACCAAACGAGCUGCACAUAGUAACAGAUACGAUAAUGGAGAGAAAAACAAUGCUAAUCUAACUCUAAAAUAGUUUAGUCCGUCGGAAGGCGCGCUGUCUUGUCAUUUAGCUUCGUAACCCCAGGGGUAAUUCUGUGAUCAGUAUCGCCAUAAUGAACCCGUUGCAGGAUGUCGCUAUUAAGGCGAACAUUAUUCUAAAUCUCGUUUAUAGCGGUCUGAGCUUCAUCUGAAUUGCUUUAGUGAACGAAGUACCUCUCGUUAUCGGUUGCAAUAAUUUGACGAUAACGGUGCUUUGCCGUCAAUUUCGUACUAUGCCUUGAUGCUAUUAUAAAAAGCUUACGCCAAACAAACAUUUUAUAUGGUAAGAUUUGUUUAGGAGAUCGAAGUCGAAGACAUGCUCGUCCCUACCGCUACUAUAACGUAUGUACAGGGGGAAUUUAAUAGUAAAGUAGACAAUUAAUUGAAUAUAGAAGUUGUAUAUCUCACCAAAUGCUUUCUCUCUCUGUCCCUGCCUCUUGCUCUCUUUACCCUCGACGUUUGCUUCCUAUGUUUACUAUGACUCCGACCCCGUCUCUCCUCUUUCUAUGUGUUUCGAUGUCUUUCGCAACAUUUGUUUGGUUUUUCAGAUUGGCUCCGCCUAGGCAUCCAGCUUGGGGUGGCCAUAUAUUCGUACGCCGGGUAGAACCAUUAAACUGCCUUCCUCAUUGCGUUUGUACUGUAUCAUCACCAUCACCACAAGCACUGACCCCAAUCAGCAUCAGCUUGCUCCUCAUUCAGUCGUAUUUUACCGUCAUUGACAUGCGGAUGACGUUCUAUUUAUAAAGCAUCAGCCCUAUACAAAGCACGCUUGGCUUCAGCAGCAGCCACAAGCACAGGUAAACAACAGCUCGUAGCAGUGAACGAGGUAAUUGAUCAUGUCACAGCCAGUGGAGAUCCGGGUAAAGGGUUACAUAUACCCCUAGCGAAAAAUAGACGGCAGCAGAAAACAUCGAAAUCUCAUGCGGAACCGAAGCAACAAUUGUCGGUAGGAGAAGAACUUUCAGCGGAAGAAAUCGCAUUGGUGGAUCCACCAAGUGUUCUUCUACCUGUAACUGUAGUAAGUGGAGAUGAUGUUAUUGUACUUCCGGAAGGUGAAAGCGAACGGCUGCGUGCGAAUGCUUCAGACGCCUUUGCAAACGAAGCGAUGCCCGACGAAGCUUCAUCUGUGACAAUUAAUGCAACAGCUGAUGAUGAUCUAACUAAGACGAAUGAUAGAACGUUUCCGUUGUUGUAUUUUAUCAAGGGCAUCAAAAAAGGAUGGUCCAGUCACACUAGUAUAGUCCAUGAAAGCAUAAAGCACAUUCACAAACUGCACGACAGUCUUCAGCCUAAACUACAUGACCUGGUCAAGGCCCAUCUAAAGGGAGGAGCUGCAGAUAAUGUAUGCCCUGUUGUUCGAGUCUACCAUAAACAUUGCGGUAGACCCUGUUCGACUCACAAACACUGCAAAGACCCACACUACGCAUGCUGCAGGGUAAUCUGCGACGAUCCUUGGGAGAAACAUUCUUUCAAAAGGGGACUGUAUUGUCACCGAAUGGUUGAAGGUAAAUGGAUGUUCGAUCACUCAGAUCCCCCACAGGAUUCCCUCCCAUGGGGUGGUGAACACUGGGGUUGGGAUUCUGGGCUCUCGAUACUGGAAAUGCUUAUGAAGCAACACAAGAAUAAGGCGCCACAUCAUGAUUCGCUUGGAGAUAAGAAGGUUUUUCUCAUUGGUUAACCCGUAGACGAUUCUUUUCUUAAUUAUAUACCAGUGUUUCAAACACAGUCUAUUAGCAUGAAUCAAAUUGAAAUUUUUUUCGAAAGACUGUCUCCAUCAUAUAUUAUGAUUAGCUUGCUAUAUAAAUCAUUGAGCUCUAGAGUGUUCCAAACGUAGCAGUUAUCGGUAAAGCAUAUCAUUCAUAUACGGGACCCUUAUACGCUAGCUACUCAACAGCGACAAAUGAUGUGUGUGCGGGCGUGUGUGUGUGUGUGUGUGUGUGUGUGUGUGUCUGACAAAAACAUAACAUUUAUUAUAAACAAGCCUAGCUUAUUUUUUAGAAAAUUUCUUAGCAAACUUGUUGUUUAUAAAAGAGGAGCACAUCUAUAACGGUGAGCUAUGUGAAAAACAACUGCUGAACUAAUAGCGUUUAUAGCGUUUUGAAGUAUUUAUAUAUAUAUAUAUAUAUAUAUAUAAGCUAGCAUAGAUUUGAUCUAGGUAUUAUUUAUUAUCCGGUUAGGUUAUUAGAACCAUUUAUUUAUUCGGUACAUUAUUUAGAAUAUAAUGAAAGUGCUUUAGUACAGUGUAUGAAGUGUGCGUUUGACGGACAACUGUCGUCCGCUAUUUCUAGGAACCGUUUGUGUUGCCACAAAUAGAAUCUAUUGUAUUUGGUAAAUAAACAAAUUAAAUAAAAAAAAUUGUCGGGACGCUUUCACUCCACUUGAUAGAAACAGAAGCAAGCUGCUUUCGUAUUAGUUAAACCUUCCUCCAAUAAUUUUGUAUAUAGUAAUGCUGGUACAACAAAUGUUUUUUGUAUGUACUUAUAUAAUCAUCUGGUAAGUAGAUGCUAUGCUAGUGUCAGAACUGAGAUGAUUCAACAAUUACUCUGUAACGAAAGAGCGUACUUUAUAAUGCGUACGUUUUUUGGUACGUUUUAAUCGUCGCGUGAAAUAGUCAAUGAACACUGGCCCUAGCACGCUUGCAAAACUGACGUUUCUGUACUUUAAUCGCCUGAGCAAUAUUCUUCAAAUCAUUCUUUGUCUUGCAGUUUGCGGAAAGGUGAUUUUUUCAGUAAAUCCCUAAGGGAUAAACGAUAUGCUGCCUUUAUACUCAUCGGUGGACACAACUAGAACUCGAGUAUUGCUCACAUAUUUAGCUAUUUCGGUGACGUCUUUGUUUUCUAUUUUAGUCUGUUCAUUUCGUAGAAGCUGCGUCACACUCAAAAUCUGAAAAUCAAAGUUCUUUCUAGAAGAACCUCAAAUAUCCUAUCAGAACGUAAUCCCUUUGGCGCGACUGCACGGCGCGUGCGGAGUUCCGCAUGUCUCCGAUGUACGUAUCAGCAGAUGAAGACAGUUAUGAUCAUCGCGAAAUAGCUGGACACUCAUCAGAAGUCAGAGGCUUGAGGACAGAAAGGCUUCAAUUGCCUAGAUUGUGCAAGCGUUCAACUGAAGAGAAAACACCGCAUAUCGUGUGCCUUGCCGUACUGCUAAGCGUACUGUCUUUUUGCCUGUUCUAUUUUUUAUAUCGACCAUUAGAGUCAGUAACUGCACAUGAUUGCUCAUGAUGAGGCGUGCGAUCCAUUCACCCAUUCCUCUGUUCGUAGCAGUACCGAUAUAGAACCUGUGAAUAAUUGUGACAAAUGGAAAAAUCAGCACUGAUGAUUAUGGUAACCGCUAUUUGAUUCGUCAUGAAGCUUGUACGUGCAAAUUUUGUAUCGGAAGCUGAAUACCAUGUACUGGAUUGAUAAGCGGCACGUAGGAGCAGAAAAUAGCCUGAAUGAUGAAAGACAUAAAAUAACGUUUCCGUUUCUCGAAAUUGAUCAGGCAGAGUGUUGGCAGAAAUCUGACAUUGUGAAACAGUUAUGGACGAAUUAAACAUGUACUUAGUAAUGUAUUUGAAUGUUUAAUGUUUUGCACGAUAACGUCCGAGUGGAAUGGUAAUAAUGUUUACUAAAAGCACAUUAGCAAAUGUAUUUGAAUAAAAAAAAAAACUGACAAAUUUGAGUAAAGGAUACGCAUAUACAAACGUAGACGCCUACAACUGGGAGUACUGACAUGACGAGACAGGGAAGUCCCAGCUUGUAAGGAGAGUAACCUUAUUUAGCAAGACUGAUGGCAAUCACUCGAAAGUGCCGAUUAUGCAGCGUCUCACGCGUAGAACUUAAAUUGACAGAAGUAUUUACGUUUAGUCGAAAGAAGUACCCCUUAAUUGUCAAUCAGGCUUUAACUUGAAGUUCCUCGAGUUCAUGCUAAAAUGGAAGAGGGUGUACCUGAACGCUUUAAAAAGUUUGGCGCCGAAGGUACCACUGCAGGCCAGCGCGGUGGUUCUUGAUCGAAACAUCACAAUACUACUUUACGAUUCAUUGGGUUACCACGAUCUGUAGCUGGCUUCAAAUUCUGUGUGUUAAAAACAUUGAUUUUGAACUUCAGGAACUGGUUGGCGGUGCACAAAUUGUGUAUUGAUCGGUUGAAUUAUAUAAGCGAACACCUAACAAACAGGAAUGGACGAAAUGUAAAAAAGCAUCGAUGACGGCGACAAAACAAUGUAAUCAUCUGGGUACCGAAAUGGCUCAGGUUGUACCAUUUGGUAUUGUUGAUCCAGGGUGCCUGUUCUGAACGACGUCGCAAUUGAGUAGUACGAUUUUGCCAAUUUUUUUGCCAAAACACAAUGCCACAUCAUCUCUGUGUUUGUUUCAUUCGUACUGCCCAAAACUGUCGGUCCUGCUACGAAUGUACUCGGAAUUCAGUGCUCCUGGUUCUCUCUUAAACAUAUUUAUUUUAAUUUAGGAUCGGGAACAAAAUAAUUAAAAUACAACAAGAACAAGAAGAUACAACA